GUUUUCUGUUAGUUUAACUCUGCAAGUUAUCUUCCCUGCAGGCCAAGGGGAUCAAUUACCUCCAUUGUCUUAACCCUCCUAUUGUCCAUUGGGAUCUUAAGUCUCCAAAUUUGUUGGUUGAUAAAAAUUGGACAGCAAAGGUAUGCGAUUUUGGGUUGUCCAGAUUUAAGGCGAACACUUU